rnacentral:lncRNA from 1 species
CGACAAAGAACAUGCCGCAUAACCACGACAAAGAAAUUAAAUAUAUUCACCAAUUGCUGGCUUGAUUUUUAUUUUUUAAUUUUAUUUUGUAUCACAGGGACAGUUUUCUUCCAGCCCCAUUCAGAACAAUGCAAAAAAGUACAGUUUGGGAAGCUUAACCACCAGCCCAUCGGCUAUCUGUUCACCUACGUUCUCACCAAUUGCACUUCAAGUAGGAAAGACACCACUGUCAGAGCACAGGAAGUUUACAUUUCAUUCUCCUGAAGCUUCCUCUGGAGGAAGUUCUACUGGGAUUGCUAAUCCAAGCAUCAGGAGUCCAUAUAUAGAUGGCUGCUCACCAAUUAAAAAUUGGUCUCCUCGGGGACUCAGAGGUGGUCCUCAGUAUUUGUCGUCACUGAUUCGGGUACCUUUUGCUCUUGAGACUCACAGUGAAGAUGAAGAAGACAACGUUUCCUCCACAGAUGUGGCUGCACUGGGCACAAAUGCUGUGGCAGCCCCCCUUCAGCAGUUGGACUGUGAGCCUUUGGCUUGUGGCGACCCUUUCGUUGUCAGUGCCAUGCCUGUCACUCAGAGUCAGUCUAGUACCUGUGAGAAAGACCUAGGGCUGCUGGGGGACUUUGAAAGUGAAAGGGACCAUGACACCGUGGAUAUGGUCGAUCCGAUAGACACAGCGGAUGAAAGCACGUGGAUAAAAGAGCCCGUGGGUAAUGGGAAUUCACCCAUGGCUGAGUUUGUGA